CCUACGGGUGGCUGCAGUGGGGAAUAUUGGACAAUGGGCGAAAGCCUGAUCCAGCCAUGCCGCGUGUGUGAAGAAGGCCUUCGGGUUGUAAAGCACUUUCAGUGGGGAAGAAAGCCUUGGGGCUAAUACCCUCGAGGAAGGACAUCACCCACAGAAGAAGCACCGGCUAACUCCGUGCCAGCAGCCGCGGUAAUACGGAGGGUGCGAGCGUUAAGCGGAAUUACUGGGCGUAAAGCGCGCGUAGGCGGUCUGAUAAGCCGGUUGUGAAAGCCCCGGGCUCAACCUGGGAACGGCAUCCGGAACUGUCAGGCUAGAGUGCAGGAGAGGAAGGUAGAAUUCCCGGUGUAGCGGUGAAAUGCGUAGAGAUCGGGAGGAAUACCAGUGGCGAAGGCGGCCUUCUGGACUGACACUGACGCUGAGGUGCGAAAGCGUGGGUAGCAAACAGGAUUAGAUACCCCUGUAGUC
rnacentral:rRNA from 1 species